rnacentral:rRNA from 1 species
UACGGGGGGGGCAAGCGUUGUUCGGAAUUACUGGGCGUAAAGGGCUCGUAGGCGGCCAACUAAGUCCGACGUGAAAUCCCCAGGCUUAACCUGGGAACUGCGUCGGAUACUGGAUGGCUUGAAUCCGGGAGAGGGAUGCGGAAUUCCAGGUGUAGCGGUGAAAUGCGUAGAUAUCUGGAGGAACACCGGUGGCGAAGGCGGCAUCCUGGACCGGCAUUGACGCUGAUGAGCGAAAGCGUGGGGAGCAAACAGG